AAUGACCACCAGAGGACUGUCCGCCCCUGGGACACCGCUGCACUGCUCCGCCAAACCUGAAAGGUAGCCGCAGGGCAGCAGCUCAGGUGUGUGGGCGGCGCUGGGAAUACUGGGCCGGUGGAUCUCUCCAAUGUUGUAUCCCUCCACGCUGUCUGAGCUCAGGCCCAGCUGGCUCACAGGGUCCACAUGGGUGAUGUACUCCUGUCAGAUACAAAGGCUCGGCAUUUAAAAUCUCCCUGUUUAUCUUUACCUUGAAAAGGCGUCGGACAACUCCGUCCAGGACGUCCCACUUUGUUUUACCACUCACACCGAUGCAACCAAUCAGAAAAUGACGAGACUGGCCCUCCUGUGGUGGAAAAACACGACUGGUUUUAGAUAUCAAAAAGCCUACAGGCUGACGACCAUCUUCACGCGUCGCCCCUCCUUCCUCAUCCCUCCCUCUCCGCCUGUGUCAUCCAACAGCAUGUCUGACAGGAAGGAAGAGCAAAGUGAGACAAGGUUUCCACAUUUCCCAUGACCUUGAAAGCAAGCUGCAGAAAGCCGACAAUAAGCAGUUACUUAAGCGCAAGCUGGUGGACUCACUGGUGGUGAGGUUGAGGCUGUGCUGGGAGAGCCCCGGUACAGUUCCCACAGCCU